UACGAAGGGGGCUAGCGUUGUUCGGAAUUACUGGGCGUAAAGCGCACGUAGGCGGGUUGUUAAGUCAGGGGUGAAAUCCUGGAGCUCAACUCCAGAACUGCCUUUGAUACUGGCAACCUAGAGACUGGAAGAGGUUAGUGGAAUUCCCAGUGUAGAGGUGAAAUUCGUAGAUAUUAGGAAGAACACCAGUGGCGAAGGCGGCUCACUGGUCUGGUACUGACGCUGAGGUGCGAAAGCGUGGGGAGCAAACAGG
rnacentral:rRNA from 1 species